ACAAUUGGAUGGAGCCACAAUGUUCUUCUUCAGAGUCUGUUGGUGAAAAAGCAGAGAUCAUGGAAGCUUCGGUUCGCAAUCGAGAUAGGUUGGAAUCGUCAAUAGGAAGUAAGUUCUUAUGGAGAAACUAGUGGUGGAGACAAAUCCAAAACUACUUAAACAAUGGUUUCCUUUAACAUUUGGCACUGGCUGACUCCAUUGUUAAGCAAAAUUUCCUGAUUCAGAACCAAAUCAUGGAAGAAACAUUGCUGCCGCAAUCGAAAUUCCAAAUGACGAACCAUCAUUCAACACUAAUCAAUUGGAUGAGUUUCAAAGCUCAUCUUCCGAGUCUGAUGAUGAGACAACAUUGAGGGAGCAAAGGUCAUGGAUGUUCGGACGUAUUUAGUCUCAAGCUUUACAAACAAGGAGAAAAAACGAUUAAAUAGAUGGGAAACGAGUGAGUUAAGCGGAAAAUAGAUCGGACGAGACAAGGAAUUUAAAUUAAUGGGCGAGAAACUAACACCUCUACUCAUGGUGCCUCAUUGUGAUAAAACACUAAUAGAGUACUAUAUCAAUGAUUCGGUCGUUAAUGUUUUUUUUAAAUUGCUUAAGAAGAGAUCCGACAAAUAUCCAAAUGUAUAAAUCAAACAUUAUUCGUUUGAUCCUCAAAUAGCUGUAAGAAUUUUUAUCUUGCCAAAAAUUAUUGGUAUUUUAAAAUAAAAUUAUUAGUAUAUUGUAUAAAAUUAUAUAAAGAGAGUAACAUUUAACCUG